rnacentral:tRNA from 1 species
UGCAUCGGCCGGGAAUCGAACCCGGGCCCGCGUGGCAGGCGAGCAUUCUACCACUGAACCACCGAUGG